CUACGGGCUGCUCCAGUGGGGAAUAUUGGGCAAUGGGCGCAAGCCUGACCCAGCAACGCCGCGUGAGGGAAGAAGGUUUUCGGAUUGUAAACCUCUGUCCUUGGGGACGAAGAAGUGACGGUACCCAAGGAGGAAGCUCCGGCUAACUACGUGCCAGCAGCCGCGGUAAUACGUAGGGAACAAGCGUUGUCCGGAAUUACUGGGCGUAAAGGGUGCGUAGGCGGCAUAUUAAGUCAGGUGUGAAAUACUCGGGCUCAACCCGGGGGCUGCAUUUGAAACUGAUAUGCUUGAGUGUGAGAGAGGAAAGUGGAAUUCCUAGUGUAGCGGUGGAAUGCGUAGAUAUUAGGAGGAACACCAGUGGCGAAGGCGACUUUCUGGCUCAUAACUGACGCUGAGGCACGAAAGCGUGGGGAGCAAACAGGAUUAGAUACCCGCGUAGUC
rnacentral:rRNA from 1 species